rnacentral:rRNA from 1 species
UACGGGGGGGGCAAGCGUUGUUCGGAAUUACUGGGCGUAAAGGGCUCGUAGGCGGCCAACUAAGUCGGAUGUGAAAUCCCCAGGCUUAACCUGGGAACUGCAUCCGAUACUGGAUGGCUUGAAUCCGGGAGAGGGAUGCAGAAUUCCAGGUGUAGCGGUGAAAUGCGUAGAUAUCUGGAGGAAUACCGGUGGCGAAGGCGGCAUCCUGGACCGGCAUUGACGCUGAGUGAGCGAAAGCUAGGGGAGCGAAUGGG